CAACAAACUAUUGAGUUUGAAUAAGAGAGGGAUUCAUAUAUGGAUCCCAGUUGUAGUUUGGUAUGUACUUUGACUAUAUACCCUUUUAAAUAAUUUAAUUUAUUAUAUAAUAACUAAUUUACACCUUGUUAUCACUGUAUGUAUGAAAAUAUUAUGAUUUGCAAGACAGAAGAAAGGUAAGUUUUUUGUUUGUUUAACCCCUCCCCCUGCCCUUCUUUUAUUUUCACUCAGUUAUGUGCCACUAUGUUUCGACAUAAAUAUCUCAUGCUACCAAUUAUUUUUUUCUAUAGUUUUGCAAUUCUGACGGAUGUGAAUGGUGCCAUGAUAACUGCUAGAUGAAACCAAGUGGUUGUUACAGCCAAAAUAUAAUAUGGAUAUAUUACUGUACAUCUCAUGAAAAUGGAUAGGAGCUUCUGGAUUAACAGAAAUGUAUUUCUAUUAAACAGUACAUCUAAUGCAAUGGGAUAUGGAAUCUGCCAUGUAUUAUUAAAUUACUGUACCUGUUUCCAAUCUACCAUAUGGAUGUCAGAACAUUGUAUGUCUACUAUGUCAAGAUAUUACAUACCUUUAUACAGUAUGUACGGUAACCUAACAAGUUAUUGGACAAUAUGAUGGCCAACAAUGGACACUAUGUACCUGUACAUGCUAAAUAAAUACGAAACAUCUGCAUAUUGGACAAAAAAACCAUCAAUGACACUGUCUUGUUUACCAAUUGGAAAAUACAGCAGACUAUUAUUACUUGGAAGAAUGUGAAAACUUGCAACAAACUAAUCAUAUCAUGUUAAAAGACAUAUAUGUUUGUUCUUCCUAAUUGUGUUGUUCUAGACGUUUUGACAAGUGAAGACAGUUUAAAACAUUGGUACCAACAAUAACAUGUGUAAAUAUGAAAAUCCGAAGUACAGUUUACAGUAUAUAAUAAUUACUGCACUAUUAAAUAAAAUAAAUUCAUACAUACAGUGUAUAUACUGUAUAAGG